CUACGGGUCGCACCAGUGGGGAAUAUUGCACAAUGGAGGAAACUCUGAUGCAGCAACGCCGCGUGGAGGAUGACACUUUUCGGAGCGUAAACUCCUUUUAUAUAGGAAGAUAAUGACGGUACUAUAUGAAUAAGCACCGGCUAACUCCGUGCCAGCAGCCGCGGUAAUACGGAGGGUGCAAGCGUUACUCGGAAGCACUGGGCGUAAAGAGCGUGUAGGCGGGUUAAUAAGUCAGAAGUGAAAUCCUAUGGCUCAACCAUAGAACUGCUUUUGAAACUGUUAACCUAGAGUGUGGGAGAGGUAGAUGGAAUUUCUGGUGUAGGGGUAAAAUCCGUAGAGAUCAGAAGGAAUACCGAUUGCGAAGGCGAUCUACUGGAACAUAACUGACGCUGAGACGCGAAAGCGUGGGGAGCAAACAGGAUUAGAUACCCUAGUAGUC
rnacentral:rRNA from 1 species